AGUACCCUUAGGAAAAGAAAUCAACCGAGAUUCCCCUAGUAGCGGCGAGCGAACGGGGAGCAGCCCUUAAGCUGUUUAGAAUUUAGUGGAAUCCUUUGGGAAGAGGAGCGAUACAAGGUGAUAGCCCUGUACACGACGGAUUCUUUACAGUGAAAUCGAGUAGGUCGGGACACGUGUUAUCUUGACUGAAUAUGGGGGGACCAUCCUCCAAGGCUAAAUACUCCUGACUGACCGAUAGUGAACCAGUACCGUGAGGGAAAGGCGAAAAGAACCCCUGUGAGGGGAGUGAAAUAGAACCUGAAACCGUAUACGUACAAGCAGUGGGAGCCCUUCGGGGUGACUGCGUACCUUUUGUAUAAUGGGUCAGCGACUUAUAUUUAGUAGCAAGGUUAAGUGAAUAACGGAGCCGUAGCGAAAGCGAGUGUUAACUGCGCGUUUAGUUGCUAGGUAUAGACCCGAAACCCGGUGAUCUAGCCAUGAGCAGGUUGAAGGUUGAGUAACAUCAACUGGAGGACCGAACCCACUAACUUUGAAAAGUUAGGGGAUGACUUGUGGCUGGGGGUGAAAGGCCAAUCAAACCGGGAGAUAGCUGGUUCUCCCCGAAAUCUAUUUAGGUAGAGCCUCGGACGAAUUCCAUUGGGGGUAGAGCACUGUUAAGGCUAGGGGGUCAUCCCGACUUACCAACCCUUUGCAAACUCCGAAUACCAAUGAGAACUAUCCGGGAGACACACGGCGGGUGCUAACGUCCGUCGUGGAGAGGGAAACAACCCAGACCGCCAGCUAAGGCCCCAAAAUCAAUACUAAGUGGUAAACGAUGUGGGAAGGCCCAAACAGCCAGGAGGUUGGCUUAGAAGCAGCCAUCCUUUAAAGAAAGCGUAAUAGCUCACUGGUCGAGUCGGCCUGCGCGGAAGAUAUAACGGGGCUAAGUAUUGUGCCGAAGCUGCGGAUGCAAUUUAUUGCAUGGUAGAGGAGCGUUCUGUAAGCCUGUGAAGGUGGAUCGUAAGGUCUGCUGGAGGUAUCAGAAGUGCGAAUGCUGACGUGAGUAACGAUAAUGCGGGUGAAAAACCCGCACGCCGAAAACCCAAGGUUUCCUGCGCAACGCUAAUCGGCGCAGGGUGAGUCGGCCCCUAAGGCGAGGGCGAAAGCCGUAGUCGAUGGGAAACUGGUUAAUAUUCCAGUACUUUUGAUAACUGCGAUGGGGUGACGAAGAAGGUUAGGUGGGCCUGGCGAUGGUUGUCCAGGUUCAAGCAUGUAGGCUGGUUUCUUAGGUAAAUCCGGGAAAUCAAGGCCGAGAUGCGAUGUCGAGCUCUCUUUUGAGCGAAGCCAUUGAUACCACGCUUCCAGGAAAAGCCUCUAAGCUUCAGGUUAUUGAAAACCGUACCCCAAACCGACACAGGUGGUCAGGUAGAGAAUACCAAGGCGCUUGAGAGAACUCGGGUAAAGGAACUAGGCAAAAUGGUGCCGUAACUUCGGGAGAAGGCACGCUGGUGGUAGGUGAGACCCCUUGCGGGUGGAGCUGACGCCAGUCGAAGAUACCAGGCCCCUGCGACUGUUUAUUAAAAACACAGCACUGUGCAAACACGAAAGUGGACGUAUAGGGUGUGACGCCUGCCCGGUGCCGGAAGGUUAAUUGAUGGGGUUAGCGCUUGCGCGAAGCUCUUGAUCGAAGCCCCGGUAAACGGCGGCCGUAACAAUAACGGUCCUAAGGUAGCGAAAUUCCUUGUCGGGUAAGUUCCGACCUGCACGAAUGGUGUAACCAUGGCCACGCUGUCUCCACCCGAGACUCAGUGAAAUUGAAAUCGCAGUGAAGAUGCUGUGUACCCGCACCUAGACGGAAAGACCCCGUGAACCUUUACUACAGCUUGGCACUGAACAUUGAACCUACAUGUGUAGGAUAGGUGGGAGGCUUUGAAGCACAGUCGCUAGAUUGUGUGGAGCCGUCCUUGAAAUACCACCCUUGUAUGUUUGAUGUUCUAACAUUGUUCCCUUAUCGGGAAUGUGGACAGUGUCUGGUGGGUAGUUUGACUGGGGCGGUCUCCUCCCAAA
rnacentral:rRNA from 1 species